rnacentral:tRNA from 1 species
GCCCUUAUAGCUCAGUGGUAGAGCGCAUCACUCGUAUUCUUGACGCACAUGAUGAGGUCCGUUGUUCAAUCCAGCGUGGGGGCA